GGCUGGCUAGCUCAGUUGGUUAGAGCAUGGUGCUAGUAACGCCAAGGCUGUGGGUUCAAUCCCCAUGCUGGCCA
rfam:Alligator mississippiensis ScZkoYb_57, whole genome shotgun sequence.